UCCCUGAUGGCUCAGUGGUAAAGAAUCUGCCUGCCAAUGCAGGGGACUUGGGUUAGAUCCCAGGUCGGGGAA
rnacentral:tRNA from 1 species